GCGGCACUAGCUCAGUUGGUAGAGCGCAACCUUGCCAAGGUUGAGGUCACGAGUUCGAGCCUCGUGUGCCGCUCCA
rnacentral:tRNA from 35 species